rnacentral:lncRNA from 1 species
CAACAACCCUUUGAGGUAGUCAGAAGGUAGCUUUAUUUAUCUCCACUUUGUGGAGAAAUGGAGGCACUGGGAGGAUGAAUGACUUGCCCUAGCUAUGGAAGGGGCCAGUCAGUGGACACAUCUACAGCUCAAGCUUUCCACUGCCUUGUUGGUGGCCUUCUCACUGAAGAGCUGGACGCCACAGGACUUUGCAUGCGUACGGGACUGUCUAGACUCCAGUUCCCUUAGGCUGGACACUUUGGGACUUGAAAACCCUGCCAUAGGUGGCCAUGAAAUGUGGAGAGAGAGAAGAAAGAGAUGUGUGGACCUAAGGAAAGAUAAGAGGCCAUGUGGUUCUGGAAAGACUGAUGGGAACAUAUAAAGAAGUUGUCUCUGUUCUUGGGCUUAGGAAAGCAUGCUCCCUCUCCUUCAGGACCCGACUCUAAAUCCAUGCCUCCUAGACUUCCGUGGUGGUCCAGUGGAUGAGAAUCCGGCUCUCAAUGCAGGAGACACGGGUUUGAUCCUUGGCCCACCCGGGGAGAUUCCACAUACUGUGGGGCAAGUAAGCCCAUGCACCACAACUACUGAGCCCAUGCCCUAGGGCCUUCGGGCUGCAGCUUCUGAAGCCUGUGUGCCGAGAGCCUGAGCUCUGCAAUAAGAGAAGCCACCACAAUGAAGAGUACCCCAAGAACCCCGACGAAGAGUGGCCCCUACUAACUACAACUAGAGAAAAGCUCGCACAGCAGCGAGGACCCAGCACGACCAUAAAAUAAAUAAAUGAUAAAUCCAUGCCUUCUGGGGAGUCCUCCUCCUUCCAGCCCUAUUAUUUCUAGAUCCCUUCUGUAAGUUUGUACCAACCUUCCUGAGAGGAG